GCUCCCCACACUCCCUAGCAGAUUGUUACAUGAAGAAACCUUUUGAAUACAAGCGUGCUGAUCCACACAGGUGUGCACACAGGUGUACACACAGGUGUACACACGGGUAUUCACAGACGCGGACUACACCUUUCUUGGCUGCUGCCUCAAAGCACAUUGUGCGCUGUCUAUCUUGCGUGCUGCACAAUAUCGUUUAUUAUUUAGUAUCUACUGAUAUCUACUGCUAGCUAGUUUAUUGUGAUGGUGCUGUUUUUUUUUUUUUAUUAUGUUGCUCUUUGUUGUUUGCUUUCUCUUCUGUUUUUUUUCUCCAUACAGGUGACCCAGGUGUUUUUUUUUGUUUUUUUUUUUUUUUGUUUUUUUUUUCUUUCUUCCCCCCCUUCUCACCGUCUCUUCUGCCCUUUGAUUUUCUUUCUCUCCCUCUCUUUCUUUCAUUCUUUCUCCCUGUCCUAUCCCCCAGUCAUGUCUGUCCCGUUUGUAGCAACUGAAAAUAAAAUAAAUUCAUAAUUAUAAUAAAGGUCAAUCAAAUGGACCAAUAUGGCAAGGCCAUGAUGAUCCACUUGGUAAAAUAAAUCCGCUUGGCAUCUUUCUUGGCCUUAAGACAACAAUUCUGAUGGCUAAAGAUCCAAACGGGACACAAAAAAAAAAAAAAAAAAAAAGGGUGACAUGAAUGAGUUGAAGGGAAGUUAUGAACUGUUUCUGAGAGACAAAUAACACCAGGAUCCUUUUUUAUGUAGCUGACAGCUGGUAACUGUGCAGGGGCGGGUCUAGCAAAGUUUUGCCAGGGGGCCAGGUAGGGCAUUAACAGGGAAAGGUGGGCACAAAGAAAUACUUUCCUUUCUUAUUCUCAUUUAAAAUACCUAGUUUUUAUUAAAUAAUUAUCUAAAUCUUACAACCAAAGUUUUUAUCUGACGUAAAAUGUAUAGAAAUCAUACAUAUACCAACAAGACUGUACAUCACUGUCACAACAGGGUUUGUUUUCAGUCAAAGUCUUUAUGGCUUUACUACCUGGUGGGUCGGUCUGUAGUAAAAAUGCCCAAUUUUUUUGUACCAGUCCAGCCCUGCAGGUUAAUACUGGCAGUGUCACCAUGCCAGCUGACUGUAUUUUAUCAUCAGCCAGUCUUGUUCUUUAUCAAUAUUACCAAAGUUUACGAUAAGGCAGCAUAGAAAGUAUUUACUUGCUUUCAGGUUUCAUUCAAAUGUUAGUCUUUUCAGUUGUUUCCCC
ensembl:lncRNA